UUUUCUCUCGCCCUCAUCUCCUUCAAUCACCGAAACUAUAGCCACACAUUCAUGAAUCACCCACGCAAUUCGUCAAUCACUGAAACAAUCACUCACGAAUCUUUAAUUCAGCAUUAAUUAUCCAAGCUUUUGAAGCGCAUAAAUUUUCCAGGCCUUGUUUAUCUACAGAUUCACGAAUCAAUCUGCAUUCAAAUUCCAAUGUCAGCAGAUCUCACGAAGCUCAGAGAUUUCCCUCGCCCUUGAUCUCAUCAUUCAAAUUCGUCGAUUAGAAACAAUCUCCCUCGCCUUGUCCAUCUACUGAUUCACGAAUUAGUUUGUGAUGUAGCAGUUUUGGCUGCAGGUACUUGAUUUUCUCCAUGUUGUUAAUUUCCUCCCUGAUUUCCCCUUAAGCAAAUAAGUUUGGACGCCGACGCCGGCGAGAGAAAAACAGCCAUUCGCUGACAUUUUCAGUUUCAAGUUAGUUUUUGCUUUUUUUCUUUUUCGAUUGCAUGUCACAGAUUGAAUAUAUAGUAUUCAUUUAUCCGAUUUUGCUAGAAUCACAUAUAAUGAUUUUAUAUGUGAUUUUGCGCGAAUUGUUGUGGUCAUUCUUGAUGCUCUUACUAGGUACAAUGAGCUACUUACUUUCCUAUGAAUUCUGCUGAAGUUAGAGAAUUUCCUGUAUUUGAUUUCAUGGAUAUAAUAGUACUUUUUGGUGCAUCAUUCGAGGUCGGUGAAGUGUUGGGGGAAAUUUCUCAUUCUAUCUUUUAAAUAUGCAGGGGAUGAGAGUGUUAUUGAAUGAGAACAUACUGGAGAAUGAUCAUGCCUAUGUUUAAAUAUGAAAGACGAAAUGACAUAUUUCUGUUGAACACCACUUUUUAUCCAAAUUUACUGGAGAACUAUUUUCAUGUAUAUGGAGACUCAUGAAAAACAAAGUAUUUGUUGAAAGAAUUUUUAUGCAGCAUGAGAAGGUUUUGUUUGAGGACAUGACAAGUUAUGGUUUUCAUUGUCUAUAAGUACUUUACAACAAUCGCCAGGCUAAAAGACGUCAGUGGACUAAGGAAGAAAGAUUUUGCUAGGGACUUGAAACGCAACUCCCUGAGAUUCUUCGAAGAAGAAAUGCUGGUCACUCGUGACCACCACAAGGAGGUUCAUUCUGCAGCCUGAAUCUCUGAUUCCUUUCGUUAGUGUUGUCUUCUAGCAAUUUGUUUCACCUCUGUGAUUGCUGAGUUGCAUUUAGUGGUUCUAUUUUUGAAUAAGUCAGUGGUUAGUGGUAGGUAUCUAUUGUUGCCUCAAUGAUAUUAUUUAUCUUCUGCAGACCUCCAAAAGUGCAAAGAUGUUUAGUGCUGCAGCAAUGGAUGGUCAGAAAAAUAGAAGAGAAUGAGAAGUGUUUCCAUCUAAUCUCACCUAAAAUUAUUCUGAACUUUUGUUGUGUAUCUAUGGAGUUUAUGCAGUGUUUCUCAAUCUCUGGAGCUCAACACGCCAACUGCUCCAGUCUCAUGGUCUUCACGGCAGCGCUCAAUCGCCUCAAUGGACCUAUCCCGAAGGAGCUCCACCACUCUUAUAAAUCUCCAGCUACUCAGUCUCGCUAGGGAGAUUCCUGUUGGCCUCAGCAAUAUGUCCAAUCUGCAAUACCUAAAUCCUUGGUCAAUCUUGUGUUUGGCGAGAAGAAGGAGACGAUUGUUUGGUCAAAUUUGAGAGAAAGAGAUGGGGGGAGGAGGGUGAGGUGAAUUAAAAAAAUAAUUUUUAUUUAUUUUUAAUAUUUUGUAAAUGUAAUUUUUCCCACCAACUUUAAAGUUACUGCCAAAGUCGAAGAUGCAGUAAUUUAUUUGAAUGAUUUAAGGUGUAAUUUGUUCAAGUGUAUCACUUCGUUCCAUAAUCUAAAAUAAAAAUUUUAA
rnacentral:lncRNA from 1 species